CUACAGGACGACGCUGGCGGCGUGCCUAAUACAUGCAAGUAGAACGCUGAAGAGAGGAGCUUGCUCUUCUUGGAUGAGUUGCGAACGGUGAGUAACGCGUAGGUAACCUGCCUUGUAGCGGGGGAUAACUAUUGGAAACGAUAGCUAAUACCGCAUAACAAUGGAUGACACAUGUCAUUUAUUUGAAAGGGGCAAUUGCUCCACUACAAGAUGGACCUGCGUUGUAUUAGCUAGUUGGUGAGGUUAACGGCCCACCAAGGCGACGAUCGGUAGCCGGACUGAGAGGUUGAACGGCCACAUUGGGACUGAGACACGGCCCAAACUCCUACGGGAGGCAGCAGUGGGGAAUAUUGCACAAUGGGGGAACCCUGAUGCAGCGACGCCGCGUGGAGGAAGAAGGUCUUCGGAUUGUAAACUCCUGUUGUUGAGGAAGAUAAUGACGGUACUCAACAAGGAAGUGACGGCUAACUACGUG
rnacentral:rRNA from 1 species